ensembl:lncRNA
UUGUAAGGAGUCCAUGAUGAAUUGGUUUUGAAACCAGUGGAUUAGCAUAUUAGUUGUCAAUCUCUCCUGCUGACGUUCCCAUGUGGAGAUACGUUAUGUGGCCUGGGUGUGUUGCUCAUAGAAUUGUUAGGGUUCUUCUAAGACUGCUUCAGAGGUAUAAGGUUUCAGGAUUGAACCGUUUGGAUGGGAGUAAGGUGACUAAACUUCAACAUUAUGCCUUUUAAAACUAUUGAAGAGUGGACUUAUACCUUUAAACUUAACCAUAAACCUGUGAUACUUUUAAAGCAUAAUCGCAUAUAACAGUUAUUUGAUCUAGUCAGUUAAAACAUUGAUCUAUUUCAUGUCUAGUUCUAUAUAUGAAAGAUGAUUUAUUGUUAAUUUACUUUCCUUACUAAUAAAUUUACAGUAUUUGAUCUCCCUCAGGCCUUGCUGUCGAAAUCUGUAUUUUCAAUUUUUAGUUUUUAUAAGAUAACUUACAAGUAGUAAUGAUUCUAGAGCCACUGGCCUAGAAGAUAAGAUAUAGGAGUUUCAAGUCUUUGAUCCAUGAACUUUUACUUAUAUAUGGAAACUGAAAUACUUCCAACAGAAGGGAUUAAAUAUCUCCAGGUAAUCUAUUCUCAUUUGCUCCACUAGGUUACUCACCUGAGUAUACAGGGAAGAAAGAAACAGAAAUCACUGAUACUCAUGUGUUGAAAUGCAGCUUUCACUCACGGGAAGGAGGUCAAAAUCUGAAGGAAAUACUUCAAAAGUGUGGAAAGCAAAACUGUUCUCUCAAGCCCAUCUGCUGGAUAUGAUUAGUCUGUGGACAUUUUUCCCUCCAAAUUUUCAGCUCCUUAUGUGCAAACUAAAUAAAUGGAAAGCUUCUGCUAAGCUUGGACUCUCACAAAACUCAGCUCCUCACCUCCGACGAAUCAACUGCCACAAACCCCACGCAGGCUGGUAUGUCACGGUGGGACAAUCCAUAAAAUUUCCCUACGUGAAGAAGUGCUCAGGGAAGUCUAACACACUCCUUUGGAUCACUACAUCAGUGUGCUAAGGAACGAGUAAGUAGCAUUUGCAUUUAAGAGCACUGGUCUCAUGAGGAAGCCAGGACAUGACCCUGGAGGCUGCAGCAUGUGGUAUGUGACACCCUGAGAUCUUGGCUCUCCUGCUGGUGCCCCUUUUUUAGGGAGCAUGGGCACAGCAGCUCUGCCAGGAAGAACAAGGUAUGGUGCUCUCUGCUGCAUAGGGAGACAAUGGAGUGUGACCUACUUCUAACUCUCUGCUACUUAACUCCUAAGGCAGAGACAAUAUCCAGCUAACCCUGCCCACUUCUGUGGGGAAAAUAGGUGGAGGAGGUUGGAGGUCAGGUUGCUCAGGUGGGAUGGGACACGUAUGAGCACUGCACAUACUGUAUCUCCCAACAGUGCUGGAACUGGCUAUUUUAGUGGCGUUGAGUGCCCUGCACGCUUGGUCUUGCAGUCAUACUGGAUCACCAUCCAUGUGUAAAGGAUAAAGAGAAAAUUAUUUGGAAACAAGUCAGUGUUAGGGAGUUUCUGUGAUUCAGAUCUGAGCUGCUACUGUGACAUUCCAUAGUUAGAAAUGUGGAAACUAGCUAAAUCGACUAAAAAUUCUGCAAUCUCCACUGGAAGUCCAGUGAGACCACCUCAUCUUGAGAGCCUGUCCUUACCCUGUGAUUAUAUCUUACAUACUUGGCUGCUCCUGCAUGGAAGAAAUGCCUUCUCU